AAUUUGUCCAAAGUUGUAUAUUUGAGCUCUCUGUGUGACCACCCAUCUUCCAAACUCACCCUACCGCAGUCAGCCAGCAGCUCUGGGUCGUUAGCCUGUCAGAACCCUGAGAGCAGAAUGAUGGACAGCAAGAGGCAGCAGGCAGGAUGGAGAACACUCCAGCAUACACGACGUUGGGGUACAGCACACAGGGAUAAGAGACACAGCAGGGAAGUGGUGGAUGAUGCCUGUGGACUCCAGGUCCAGAAGUCUGUCAUCUUCAACACACUGCUUCUGAUCAUUUUAAAUUUAGAGUGCAAAUUAUUAAUUGCAGAAUCAAGACCACUGGAAUCAAGACAAACUGACUUUGUGUCAAUAAUUUAAUGCCAUUGUAUUUUGAAAGAGUUCAGAAAAAGAGUACAUCUGCUUCACAACUACUUGAUCUCCAUUUUCUUUUUUAUGCAUAUCCUGACUGCUGUAUAACUUAAGCCUAGGUUUUUUCUCUCAUCCAUUUGGUGGAAUAUUUUUUCCUAAAUGAAGAGUAAUCUAUAUUUUCUAUUUUGAUUUAAAUCUAUAAUUGGAGUGCUUAUCAACAUUGGCUAAUGAAAUCAACCUAUCAACACUAUAAUAUUACAGCAUGAAGUUUCUGGCUAAAAUAUUUUCCUUAUGGUUCUGCUUUUCUAGGAUCCAUAUUAUAUUCUUCCCUUGGUCUUUCUUUGGGAGUCAUUUCUUAAAAACACCCCCCCUUUUUUUUCUGAAGACUCACAUGAGAGCAGUGGAAUCAAGAGUUAGGUCUUUCUUUUCUCACUUAAGAACAAUAAGCAUACAGAAACUGAAAUUAUACAACAAAAUUUUACCCAUUUCUGCUAAAUUAAAGAGAUUUUUAAAAACAAUUUUAAAUGUCA
rnacentral:lncRNA from 10 species